rfam:Alligator sinensis unplaced genomic scaffold scaffold721_1, whole genome shotgun sequence
GUCCAUGGACAGGCAAGCAGGCCAAACUGGACUGAUUGCAUCUGAUCUUGGCAAGUAAGUAGGCCCAGGCCUGGUUAGUACCUGGGUGGGAGACCGCCUGGGAAUCCCGGGUGCCAUAGGCU